rnacentral:lncRNA from 1 species
ACUGGAGGGGACACGGGUUCGAUCCCUGGUCUGGGAAGAUUCCAUGUGCCAUGUGCUCCACAGCUGCUGAGCCUGCGCCCUGGAGCCCGGGAGCCACAGCAAGAGAAGCCGUCUCGAUGAGAAAGCCGUGUGCUGCAACAAAGACCCGGUGCAGCCGAAAACAAAGUGAGACAUUCAUUAAAGAAUGAAACGGCACGGAGAAACACAAUGGAUUCUGACUCAGAAAACAGGAAGAAAUGAUGCCUUUAAAAAAGGAAGGAGGAAAGAAGACAGGAAGGGAACGAUGCAGAGACUCGACCGAAUGAACGCAGGCCCCGUCUUCCCCUGGAGCUCAACCCAAAGGCCAAUCUGGUCACGUGGAUUCGCCCGAUUCCUCGCCUGGACAGGGUCCUGCCUUCCUUGGGCUGAAGUCCGAGCUCUCGGGCCUUGCCCAGAAGGUCCUGCCGGUCCCGCCACUUCUCCGCCUGCUUUAAGGCUCCAGUCCUAUGUUCAGUCCUUCCGGGAGUCUUCAGAGGCACCAAGGCCCGCCCAGCCCUUGGGUCUCUGUUCCUGCUGCCUGGAUAUUCUUCCCUCUUCUUUCACCCUCCCCACAGCAGGUCCCAAGACCAGGGCCUGCAAGCAGAUUAUUAACUUGGGGAAGUUACCCUUGGGAGCAGGAACAACAGAGGAGUUAAACAGGGAAGUAGGGGAACCGACCGGAGCACGUGGUCCCAGCCGCAGGACGCUGUUCAUUGUCAGUGUCACCAUCAUCCACCUGUGCUCUGAGUCCGCCGUCUCUGACCAGGGAAGGAGGAGCACCCUGGCAGGUGCAGAGCGAGAAGGAGGGGCGUUAACGCCAGGUCAAGCCUCCUGCCGUGGAGACGGAGUAAACUAGUCCACGGCCUUUCAGCAGGACGGUUACAAGGCAAGCCACACUUGGAGAGGGGGGCUUUGAUCUGCCUUCCAGAUUAUGUCCUGACUGUUUAAG